GUCCUUUUGUUUUAUAAUUUAAGGUCUAACCUGCCCAUUGAUAAGUUAAAAGGCCGCAGUAAUUUGACUGUGCAAAGGUAGCAUAAUCAUUAGUUUUUUAAUUAAAAGCUUGUAUGAAUGGUUGGACGAGAUAAAAUCUGUCUCUUAAUAAAAAAUAGAAUUUAAUUUUUAAGUUAAAAAGCUUAAAUAUAAAUAAAAGACGAGAAGACCCUAUAGAUCUUUAUAUAAUUUUUUUUAGUAUUAAUAAAGAAAAUUUUAUUUAUUAAAAUUAAUUUUAUUUUAUUGGGGUAAUAAAAAGAUUUAAAAAAUUCUUUAAUAAUAAACAAUAAUUAUUGAUUAUAUGAUCCAUUAUUAAUGAUUAAAAGAUUAAGUUACCUUAGGGAUAACAGCGUAAUUUUUUUAGAGAGUUCUUAUCAAUAAAAAAGUUUGCGA
rnacentral:rRNA from 1 species